CGCUCAUGGUGUCCUUGUAGCACGUUGGUCUUCUAAUCCAAAGAUUGUGGGUUCGAAUCCCACCUGGGAUGG